CAGAGGGCGCGAGCGUUGUCCGGAAUCACUGGGCGUAAAGGGCGCGUAGGUGGCCACUAUAAGGCCGCGGUGAAAGUUCGGGGCUCAACCCCGAAUCUGCCGCGGCGACUGUAGGGCUUGGGCACUGUAGAGGCAGAUGGAAUUCCGGGUGUAGCGGUGGAAUGCGUAGAGAUCCGGAAGAACACCAGUGGCGAAGGCGGUCUGCUGGGCAGUGGGAGCGCAAGCUCCUCUUAGCCGACACUGAGGCGCGACAGCGUGGGGAGCAAACAGGAUUAGAUACCCUGGUAGUCCACGCCGUAAACGAUGGGCACUAGGUGCUUUGGGGAGCGACCCCCGGGGUACCGGCGCUAACGCAUGAAGUGCCCCGCCUGGGGAGUACGGCCGCAAGGCUG
rnacentral:rRNA from 1 species